GAGACAUAUCUCACCUGGAUUAUCUUCCCAGGCGUAUCUUUGGGAUAGAAUCUUAGCGCAGUGGGAUUGCUGCACAGAAUGCACCCAGGUCCUGGGAGUAGCUGCCAUCUGGAACAUCACUGAUUUUAGGGAAAAGAGAAAAAGAAGAUAAUGGUGAACUGAGGGCUGGCAGGGAAGUAUAAUCUCCCCAUAGGGAAGGGCACUGCAUGGGAGGCACAAAAUACUUUGUGAGAGAUACGAUAUACCACUUAGUGUAUGUCACUGGACUCAGUUUGCUAACAUUUUCUUUAGAAUUUUACUACAGUCAUGAGAGAUUGGCCUGUAGUUUUCGUGAAAGUCACUCAGUCAUGUCUGACUCUUUGCGAACCCAUGGAC
ensembl:lncRNA